rfam:Sorex araneus cont1.661590, whole genome shotgun sequence.
UUCUCAGAUCGGUGAGAGUGAAUGACGAGUGAGUUGUCAAUGGUAGUUACUUCGCUCAGCGCAGAAUGACUGCAGGGAAUAUAUUCUGACAUACCCAAAGAAGUCUGCCCAGGGUGAAACAAUUACCUUUGGGGU